rnacentral:rRNA from 1 species
GUGGGGAAUAUUGCACAAUGGGGGAAACCCUGAUGCAGCAACGCCGCGUGAGUGAUGAAGGCCUUCGGGUUGUAAAGCUCUGUCUUUGGGGACGAUAAUGACGGUACCCAAGGAGGAAGCCACGGCUAACUACGUGCCAGCAGCCGCGGUAAUACGUAGGUGGCAAGCGUUGUCCGGAUUUACUGGGCGUAAAGGAUGCGGAGGUGGAUAUUUAAGUGGGAUGUGAAAUACCCGGGCUCAACUUGGGUGCUGCAUUACAAACUGGAUAUCUAGAGUGCAGGAGAGGUAAGUGGAAUUCCUAGUGUAGCGGUGAAAUGCGUAGAGAUUAGGAAGAACACCAGUGGCGAAGGCGACUUACUGGACUGUAACUGACACUGAGGCAUGAAAGCGUGGGGAGCAAACAGGAUUAGAUACCCCAGUAGUCC